rnacentral:rRNA from 1 species
UAAAGCAAGAAAGGGCGUAUGGGGAAUGCCUAGGCACACUCCGGCGAAGAAGGACGCAGCAAACAGCGAAAUGCGACGGUGAGCGGUAAGCACGUGAAGAGCCGUCGAUAUCCGAAUGGGGGAACCCACACGGAGUCAUAUCCGUGUAUCACAUGUCGAAUACAUAGACAUGAUGAGGCGAGACGCAGGGAACUGAAACAUCUAAGUACCUGCAGGAAGAGAAAAUAAGAAUGAUUUUCUGAGUAGCGGCGAGCGAAAGGGAAAGAGCCCAAACCGAUCUGAGGAUCGGGGUAGUAGGAUCAUCGAGGAAUCUGACAGAGGAUCAUAGAGGAAUCACAUGGGAAGGUGAGCGAGAGAGGGUGAGAGCCCCGUACUCGAAAUGAGAGACUGGAGAGAGAUGACACCUGAGUAGGGCGGGACACGAGAAAUCCUGUCUGAAUCAGCCGGGACCAUCCGGCAAGGCUAAAUACGAGAGAGUGACCGAUAGUGAACCAGUACCGUGAGGGAAAGGUGAAAAGAACCCCGGGAGGGGAGUGAAAGAGAACCUGAAACCAUAUGCCUACAAGAAGUCAGAGCCCGUUAAAGGGUGAUGGCGUGCCUUUUGUAGAAUGAACCGGCGAGUUACUGUAUGGAGCGAGGUUAAGCAGGAUAUGCGGAGCCGAAGCGAAAGCGAGUCUUAAGAGGGCGCGAGUUGCAUGCAGUAGACCCGAAACCGGGUGAUCUAGCCAUGACCAGGUUGAAGUUGGGGUAAAACCCGAUGGAGGACCGAACCGACCCCCGUUGAAACGUUGGCGGAUGAGUUGUGGCUAGGGGUGAAAUUCCAAUCGAACCCGGAGAUAGCUGGUUCUCCCCGAAAUAGCUUUAGGGCUAGCGUCGGAAAGAACCUUAGUGAAGGUAGAGCACUGAAUGUGUGAUGGCCCCAUCCCGGGGUACUGAAUACAAUCAAACUGCGAAUGUCAUUAAGGAUGUCCGGCAGUCAGACUGUGAGUGAUAAGGUCCAUGGUCAAGAGGGAAACAGCCCAGACCGCCAGUUAAGGUCCCAAAAUACAGGCUAAGUGGAAAAGGAUGUGGGGAUGCCCAGACAACUAGGAGGUUGGCUCAGAAGCAGCCAUCCUUUAAAGAGUGCGUAACAGCUCACUAGUCGAGUGACCCUGCGCCGAAAAUGUACCGGGGCUAAGCCUGAUACCGAAACUGCGGAUUGUAGGAAACUAUAGUGGUAGGGGAGCGUUGUAUACGAGUAGAAGCCGUACCGUGAGGAGCGGUGGAUUGUAUAGAAGUGAGAAUGCCGGUGUGAGUAGCGAGAUGUAGGUGAGAAUCCUACACACCGAAAGCCCAAGGAUUCCAGGGGAAGGUUCGUCCGCCCUGGGUAAGUCGGGACCUAACGCGAGGCCGAAAGGCGUAGUGGAUGGAAAGCAGGCGAAAGAUUCCUGCACCCGUAUAUGGAGCGAAGGAGUGACGGAGACGGAUAGUGUGACCCUCUUAAUGGAUUGAGGGCGAAGCGAAGCGGCUGGUUACCAGGCAAAUCCGGUAACCUUAAGGCUAGAGCGUGACAGGUAAGCGAAAUCUUAGGAAAGUAGCGAAGCACAUGAUGACGGCUUCCAGGAAAAGCUUCUGGCAAUGCAUAUGCGGCCCGUACCAAAACCGACACAGGUGGGCAGGGAGAGAAUCCCGAGGUGAGCGAGAGAACUGUUGCCAAGGAACUCGGCAAAAUGACUCCGUAAGUUAGCGAGAAGGAGUGCUUAAGCAAUUAAGCCGCAGUGAAGAGGCCCAAGCGACUGUUUAACUAAAACACAGCUCUCUGCGAAGUCGCAAGACGAAGUAUAGGGGGUGACACCUGCCCGGUGCUGGAAGGUUAAGAGGAUCUGUUAAGAGCGAUCUGAAGCAGUGAUCCGAAGCCCCAGUGAACGGCGGCCGUAACUAUAACGGUCCUAAGGUAGCGAAAUUCCUUGUCAGGUAAGUUCUGACCCGCACGAAAGGUGUAACGAUUUGGGCGCUGUCUCGGCAGCAGACUCGGUGAAAUCUUAGUACCUGUGAAAAUGCAGGUUACCCGCAACUAGACGGAAAGACCCCAUGGAGCUUUACUGCAGCCUGAUAUUGAAUUCUGGUCAUACAUGUACAGGAUAGGUGGGAGACAAAGAGACGUGCACGCCAGUGUACGAGGAGUCGACGUUGGGAUACCACUCUUGUGUGACCGGGGUUCUAACCUGGUAUCGAGAACAGGUACGGGGAGAGUGUCAGGUGGGCAGUUUGACUGGGGCGGUCGCCUCCCAAAGAGUAACGGAGGCGCCCAAAGGUACGCUCAGAUUGGAUGGAAACCAAUCGUCGAGUGCAAUUGCAGAAGCGUGCUUGACUGUGAGACAAACAAGUCGAACAGGGACGAAAGUCGGGAAUAGUGAUCCGGCGGUGCCGAAUGGAAGGGCCGUCGCUCAACGGAUAAAAGCUACCCUGGGGAUAACAGGCUGAUCUCGCCCAAGAGUUCACAUCGACGGCGAGGUUUGGCACCUCGAUGUCGGCUCAUCGCAUCCUGGAGCUGGAUUCGGUUCCAAGGGUUGGGCUGUCCGCCCAUUAAAGCGGUACGCGAGCUGGGUUCAGAACGUCGUGAGACAGUUCGGUC